GAUGAACGCUGGCGGCGUGCCUAAUACAUGCAAGUCGAGCGAACAGACGAGGAGCUUGCUCCUCUGACGUUAGCGGCGGACGGGUGAGUAACACGUGGAUAACCUACCUAUAAGACUGGGAUAACUUCGGGAAACCGGAGCUAAUACCGGAUAAUAUAUUGAACCGCAUGGUUCAAUAGUGAAAGACGGUUUUGCUGUCACUUAUAGAUGGAUCCGCGCCGCAUUAGCUAGUUGGUAAGGUAACGGCUUACCAAGGCAACGAUGCGUAGCCGACCUGAGAGGGUGAUCGGCCACACUGGAACUGAGACACGGUCCAGACUCCUACGGGAGGCAGCAGUAGGGAAUCUUCCGCAAUGGGCGAAAGCUUGACGGAGCAACGCCGCGUGAGUGAUGAAGGUCUUCGGAUCGUAAAACUCUGUUAUUAGGAAAGAACAAAUGUGUAAGUAACUAUGCACGUCUUGACGGUACCUAAUCAGAAAGCCACGGCUACUACGUG
rnacentral:rRNA from 1 species